ACAUCUUAUUUUGAAAAUAGACUAGAAGAUAUUGAUAAUAAUAUUGGAUUUAUGCAAUAUAGCAGUGCAGCAGUUCACCCAAGGCUUGCUGGGACAGGAAUUUACAUUCAUAGCACUUUUCAAAAGUAUCAACAUCUUAUUUUGAAAAUAGACUAGAAGAUAUUGAUAAUAAUAUUGGAUUUAUGCAAUAUAGCAGUGCAGCAGUUCACCCAAGGCUUGCUGGGACAGGAAUUUACAUUCAUAGCAC